ACGGGAGGCAGCAGUGAGGAAUAUUGGUCAAUGGACGGAAGUCUGAACUAGCCAAGUCGCGUGGAGGAUGAAGGUAUUAUGUAUUGUAAACUUCUUUAGCAGUGGAGUAAUAAGGUGGUCGUGACCACUGAUGCAAGUACACUGAGAAUAAGGAUCGGCUAACUCCGUGCCAGCAGCCGCGGUAAUACGGAGGAUCCGAGCGUUAUCCGGAUUUAUUGGGUUUAAGGGUGCGCAGGCGGCUUUUUAAGUCAGUGGUUAAAUCGUGACGCUCAACGUCAUCACGCCAUUGAUACUGGAGAGCUUGAUCGCGGUCGAGGUUUGCGGAAUUCGUUGUGUAGCGGUGAAAUGCAUAGAUAUGACGAAGAACACCGAUUGCGUAGGCAGCAGACCAGGCCGUAAAUGACGCUCAUGCACGAAAGUGCGGGGAUCGAACAGGAUUAGAUACCCUGGUA
rnacentral:rRNA from 1 species